ensembl:lncRNA
AGUUCAAGCUGUUUCCUAAUGGUUCCCCUGCAUUCUAAGGCAUCAUUUUUGAUCCAUUCAAUAGUUAAAUUCAAACACGCAUGCAGUUAGAGAUGAACUGGUUGGGGUUUUUUUUUGCGUUCCCUUUUUUCUACUAUAAAUACACAGAAACAUUGAAAAACUAUGAUCCCUUUUUCUGUUGGCACACCACUGUGAAGGCCAACCAACAGGCACAUCACUUUUCUUCUGUUCAGUAAGCUAUGAACUGCAUUAACAUCAAGAAAGAUACCUCACGAGCGUUUGGAUAAAAAUAACAGCUACAGAAUAAAAUUACCUUGACAAGUAAAAUUCUGAUUCCAGCCUCAGUUGGAAAUCCAUCACAUGAUUUUCUGUUUGUUUAUUUCCAGCAAAAAGCCAUCUCAAGAAGAACCUUCAACCUACACAGAUAAUUAAAGUUCAAUCUGCCUGGCUAUCCAUUGGUUUUUAGUAGACACUGAAACAACUAUAUGGGUUCUGAGGACCAAGGAAGGCUCUUUCUGCAGGUCUCCAAACUUCCAGUGGCUCACACAGUACAAUAUGAAGAUAAGAUGUUGAACUCAAGUCCACUCAGGAUACACAAUUAACUAGCAACUGAAAGAAGCUCUCUAAAACAUUUACAAGAAGAAAAGCAGCAACAUGACCAAGCUCACUGCAGAGACACAGCUGAACUACAUAUAACUAAUUAGAUCACAGAAAAAAAAAUGGAGUAGUUGGAUUAGGACUGAGCAGUGAUUGUGCAGAGACACUCUGAACAACCCUAGUACAUGCAAACAACAGCUGACUGUCAUGAGCAUAAAUAAAAGAAAUCAGAUGAAAUGACUUUGAUCAUUGAAAUUUCCCAUCUAUAAAAAGCAAACCAGAAAUUUAGUCUAUCCGCAGCCUGAUCAAGUGAGACACAUUGUAAACAGUAAAGGAGAAAAAAGUCAAAAUCUAACCAAUAAAAUACUUACUGCCAUGUGAUCCAUGUCCACUGCAUGCACAGAAUAGCUACUAAAGAGCCC